GACGAACCGUGCAAACGUUAUUCGGAAUCACUGGGCUUAAAGGGCGCGUAGGUGGUUGAUCAAGUCUGGGGUGAAAUCUUUCGGCUUAACCGGAAAAGUGCCUUGGAAACUGAUCAGCUUGAGGGAGGUAGGGGCAGUUGGAACUUCCAGUGGAGCGGUGAAAUGCGUUGAUAUUGGAAGGAACGCCGGUGGCGAAAGCGAACUGCUGGACCUCUUCUGACACUGAGGCGCGAAAGCGUGGGGAGCAAACAGG
rnacentral:rRNA from 1 species